UAGAAAAGAUAAUGCUGAAAUCAGUAAUAAGGGGGCAUUAGCCCCCCUCCUAGCACAAGUGUAAAUCAGACCGGACAAGCCGCUGACACCUAAACAGACCCAGAAUGAGGGCAAAACAAAUCAAUCACGAAACAUAAACAAGAAGAAAAUGUAUAAAACACUGUUAACCCAACACAGGAGUGCUACCAUAGGAAAGACUCAAAAGGGAAGAAGGAACUCGGCAAACACAAACCCCGCCUGUUUACCAAAAACAUCGCCUCUUGCUAAAAAAAGAAGUAUUAGAGGUCCCGCCUGCCCUGUGACCCAUGUGUUUAACGGCCGCGGUAUCCUGACCGUGCGAAGGUAGCGCAAUCACUUGUCUUUUAAAUGAAGACCCGUAUGAAUGGCACGACGAGGGUUUAACUGUCUCCUACCCCAAGUCAAUGAAAUUGACCUGUCCGUGCAGAGGCGGACAUAAUAACAUAAGACGAGAAGACCCUAUGGAGCUUUAGGUAAAAUAUCACGUACGUAAAGAUAGAUAAUAAAAGCUAAAGACACUAAAACCACACUAAAACUAAGAUACAAAUGAUAUAAAUACCUUCGGUUGGGGCGACCAUGGGGGAAAAAAAAGCCCCCAAGCGGAAAGGAAACACAAUCCUAAACCAAGAAAGACAAUUCUAAGUAACAGAACAUCUGACCAUGAAUGACCCAGGCACAACCAGCCUGAUCAACGAACCAAGUUACCCUAGGGAUAACAGCGCAAUCCUUUCCCAGAGUCCAUAUCGACGAAAGGGUUUACGACCUCGAUGUUGGAUCAGGACAUCCUAAUGGUGCAGAAGCUAUUAAGGGUUCGUUUGUUCAACGAUUAACAGUCCUACGUGAUCUGAGUUCAGACCGGAGUAAUCCAGGUCGGUUUCUAUCUAUGAUACAACUUCUUCCUAGUACGAAAGGACCGGAAAAAGGGGGCCAAUGCUAAAGACAAGCCCCACUCCCACUUACUGAAAACAAAUAAAAUAA
rnacentral:rRNA from 1 species